rnacentral:ncRNA from 1 species
AUAGAUUUUCUUAAUACUCUGUUCAAACCACAGGAACAGACAAACAGGAGGUUUGUCUGAGGAGCCUCUGAGCCAGGAUGGCGAAUAGGAUCCGGUUCCGUAAACAUCCUACACUCUUCUUUACAAGAGUAUUUAGAAAAUCUCCUUUCCGC